GCAUAAAACUUAAAGUCACAGUUGGAGGCUUGGGGUAAAGAAAGGAAAUGAUCUUGAGUAGGAAGAGAAGCUCUAGAAUUUUCUAUUAGAUUUUUCAGAGGAAGAGAACUUCACAAUAUGCCCUUUUGUUGCCUGUGGUUACCAUCAAAGUAUCAUCAACACAGUUUUCCACAAAGCAUGCCUCUAAAUAGUUCUGCAGUUGUUGCCACCUCUGGUGAGAGGAAAGGAUUGCUGUAUUCUCUGUUCUAAUUCAAUUCUCUACAGACUCUUCAAAUUACGAAACUGACCUGACAGCAAGUUGUACCAGUGCCAUAGUGGCACUAAGGUGUUCAUAGUUUUCAUCAGGUUUUAUCAAUGAAGGCAAUAGCACAGGCUGAACUGUUCAAGCAAUGGCAGACCAUCUUGGGGAAGCAGAAUCGGCAUAAAAGUACAAACAGCACCAGGAUGAUCCACAACAUUUAAUCUCUUACAUUGGAAGAAACUGAGCAUCAGUGGAGUUGCUCCAAUUAUGGUGAGACAGCCAUUGGAAAGAAUUGUCCCAUUUCAUCUAUAGACAAAAUGCUGUCCAGAAAAGGGACAAACCAUGUAGAAUAGUCAACUGAUAAUCUCUGCCAAGACAAUGUAACCAGUCCUUUAAACACUGUGCCUUACAAAUGUCUGUCAGAUGAUCCUGGACCAGAAGGCUGAAGACUGGUGGUCCAAUGUUUUGAAGAAUGGGGGACUGUCCAGGUGAUCAGCAGUGUCUAUAAAUUAGCUAAAUUUUGGAGGCUAUGUUUUGUGAUUCUUAUACUUUCAUGUAGUAUUAGUCAUUCUUGGUUUUCUGAAGUGAUUGAAGAUUGGUAGUCUCAUAGUUAACCCAAGCUGUUUAGCAUUGAGAAAGAUGAUAUAGAUUUGAGAAGAUGAUUUUUCAAAUGACAUACAAUCUAAAAGUAGGGCAUAAGUCAAGAGUACAAUUGUAGGUCUUUUAAGUUAGGAUAGAUGGCAAAGUGCUUUAUUUAAUGGACAAAUUUAUGGACUGGAUGUUAAGCAUAUCUUCUACUUUAUAAAUUAUAGAAUGGUAAUAGUUAUACUCAAUUUGUAUCUAAGGGAAAAGAGCCUUUUAACUGGAUAAAAAGGGGAAAAUGUGGAUUGCCCUGGUAUUGUUUGUAUUUUUUAAACUGGAUUUUUUUGUUUACAAUUCAAAUGUUACACCUCUUUUUCAAUUUUGCAUCCAUAAACCCUCUAUCCCAUUCCCCAUCCCCCUUCUCCUAUGAGGGUGUCCCCCCACCCAACCACCACCCUUUUCCAUCUCCCCACCUUGAUAUUCCCCUAUACUGUGGGGUCCAGCCUUGGCAGGACCAAGGGCUUCUCCCCCAUUGGUGCCCAACAAAGCAAUCUUCUACUGUAUAUGCAGGUGGAGCCAUAGGUCUGUCCAUGUGAACUCUUUGGGUAUUAGUUUAGUCCCUGGGAGCUCUGGUUGGCUGGUAUUGUUGUUCUUAUGGGGUUACAAACUCCUUUAUUUCUUUUAAUUCUUUCUCUAACUCCUCCAAUGGAGACCUCAUUCUCAGUUAAAUGGUUGGCUGUGAGAAUAUUCACCUCAGUAUUUGUCAUGCUUUGCCAGAGCUUCUGAGGAAACAGCUACAUCAGGCUUCUGUCAGCAGGCACUUCUUGGCAUCAGCAAUAUUGUCUGGGUUUUCUGCCUGUGUGCAAAUGGGCUGGAUCCUCAGGUGGGGCAGUCUCUGAAUGACCACUCCUUCAGUCUCUACUCCAAACUUUGUCUCCAUAUUUCCUCCUAUGAAUAUUUUUGUUCCCCCUUUUAAAAAGAACUGAAGCAUCCACUGUUUAUAUUUUGAUGCUAAUUCUGCUUCCCCAAGAAGGUCUGCCUAGGACAAGUUAAUGAAUCACCUACUCAGGUGACUUCAUAAGAACCUUCUCCCCAUUUUAACUCAUAAAAUAAAGGUUAGAGCCAGUGAUUGGGCAGGGGAAGGGAAGGUAGAGUUGAAAAGUUUGAGGAAGAAAGAGAAAAAAUGAUAGAGGGAGGAAAGAUAGAGGGAAAAUGGAGCUGAAGCACAUGGCCUGGAGAAUCCACAAGUUAUAAGGGAUCUCAUAGCUGGGGAAUAGAGUAGAGUAGUGGUAGACCUGCCCAAUCUAGGCAUGCAGCUUGUAUUCAUAUUAAUUGAGUUGUAUUUUCAUUGUAUGGGCAUAUUUGGGUUGGAGAGUUUACUGGAACACAGAAUGGACAACAUUUUAAUAUUUUAAUCAGUUCUAUUAUCAUUGCAAUCAAACAGUCAACAGAAACAAAUAGCUCAAAAAAUUGCAAAGCAAGAUGAAUAAUCACAUGUAGAUUGAGAGAUCUUUCUGGAGAAAUUUUAUUUUUAAUCCUAGUUAAACUUUCUCAGAAGGUGUUGCCAUAAAGAAUACUACAUUUAUUAUGAUAUGAGUGUAUCUAGCACAGGUAUAGUUAUUAGGUUCAUUAGUCUCCAUUGUAGUUUGCAUCUUUAUUCCUUCUUUUUCUUAUUUCUCUUCUACUAUACUCCUUUAUUCCUCCCCUCUCCUUCCCUCCCUUGUUCUCUUCUCUUCCUUUCCUAUCUUCUUGUGUCCUUCCUUUCUCUUUCGAUAGCACAAGAAGUGUGACUUCUUGACACUUCUUCCCUGGUAUUCUGAGAAUGGAAUAACCUGCUUAUCUGUAUGUACUAUAUCGUCAACCUAGGCCUCUUAACCAGGUAUGGUAUUUGUUACAUGGAGGUUAAUUACCAGGUUCAUUUUUUAACUUUUUAUAUAAUACUAAUAUAGACCUGAAUAAUUUUAAAAGUAUGUGCAAUGUAUUUUUAUUAUAGUCUCCUAUUACCUCCCUUCUAACUUCCCUUAGGUCCCUCUCAAAUUUAUGGCCCCCUCAUUUUAUUUUUUUAACCAAUUGAGUCCCUACCUUAAUGCACAGUAAUAUGUAAGCACCUACUAGAGCAUAAGCAACAUACCAGUAUCCAUGGCCUCAAAGGAAAAUUACUCCAGAAGCCAUCAAAUGUCCUUAGUCCCUCAGAUAAGUGUAGGAACUCACAUACCUCUCCCUCUCUAUGAUGUAUUUUUAACUUGAUUGAUCUUAUUCAAAUAACCAUAACUUUUGUACUCUAAGUACAUGGCAAUGUCUUGUCCACAUGACAAAAUUUCACAACAGUCUUCUUCAUACUUUCUCUUUUUGAAAUAAUGUUUCAUACAAUAUAUUUUGAUCACAAUUUACCUUUCCCCAAUUCCUUCCAAAUCCUCUCCACCUGAUUACCCACACAAAUUUGUACCCUUUCUCUUUCUCAGUAGACAAGACAUCUAAAACUAAUGUAAUAUAAAAUAAAGACAAAUACACCUUAAUAAGACUCUUACAUUUUCUCUGUCUCUUUUUCCAUGAUGUUCACUGAUCCUGCAAGUGGAAUGAUAUGAAUGUUCCAUUCAGAACAGAGCACUAACGAUUUUUAUUCUCAGCUCUUUUUCAGAGGUCAUUUUUAACCAGAUAGUGUGUCAUUUCACUCAUUUAAAUUCAAGAUAUUUUACACACCUGAUGCAGUUGCUAUUUAAUAUACUUCUUGUUUUAAAUAAUUGGACUUUCUACUCACUAAAUUCUUUAGAUGAUUUUUUUAGUUAUACUUUUAUUCCUGUGAUAAAUAUUAAGUUCAGUUGCAUUCUUUUAAUGGACUCCUUGACUCACAUUUUUUUGUUAUUUUUUUAUCAUUAGAAAAGUUCUUUGUUUGUUUUUUUGUUUGUUUGUUUGUUUGUUUUGUUUUUUACAAGUUGGAGCAAUUAGGUCUUACCCAAAUGGUAUCUCUCAGUAUACUCCAAUGGAAAUCAGGCCUUGACUUGCUCUCCUAAUUCCUAUCAUCACAAGUCUGAGAUCUAACAUUCCUGGGUCUCCUUUUUUCUUCAAAUUCUACAGUUUGUAUUUCUUUUUGUGACACUUGCUAUUUUCCAUUUUAGUUGUCCAUAAGAGUCAUCACUAAUAACAAUAGAACGGAGUCAAUGUUAGGGUGUAUUGAAGUCUUCUUCACUAAGAAAAUUAAUUCACUACUCAAUUUGGCCUCAAAUUCUUGGGACAAGGUCAGAAAGCAGCCACAUCUUUUGCCAAAGUAUCACCAAAAAUGGUCUCUAAUCUAGUUGCUAAUAUUGUUCCCUUCUGAAACCUCUUGAGUAGGGCUUCAGAAAUUCACAGUGCUCUCAGCAAUAAUAAAUUCUGAACUCAUAUCAGGAUGGGCCAUUAAACCAAAGUCCAAAAAUCAUAUUCUUCCAAAAACCAGUGUACUCAGGAUGGUCACAAACAAUAGCCUACUGUUUUGUACUGCUUUCUGUCUUAGUUACUUUCUAUUGCUAUGAUAAGCAAUGAUCAAGACAACUUAUAUAAGAAAGAGUGUAAUUGGGCUUACAGUUUCAGAAGGUUAGAGUCUAUUAUGUCAGAGAAAAAGCAUGACAACAAGUGGAUAAUGUAGCAGCUGAGAGCUCAUAUCUUGAUCCACAAACAGAGUAGAAUGUAUACUGGAAAUGAUGUUUUGCCACAUCUCUUUCAAAAAGGCCACACCUCCUGCAAUGGCUACUCUUGGUGUAAACUUGACUUCAUUGGAAUUAACCAAAACCCAAAUGACUGGGUUUAGCUGUGAGGUAUUUUUCUUAAUUAGUCAUUUAAAGUGUAAAGAAAUAACAUUAAGCCUGAUUGAUCUUUUUGAAGUCGGAAGACCCUCCUUUAUUCUUGUCCACAAGCCUUCUAAUGGAAGCCUAUAUAAAGGAGAUGAAAGAAGGAAACUCUUCACUCUUUGUCCAUUUGCUGUCACCAUGGCUGGCAAGUCUAUACUUUCAGUGGCAUGAGAGCUUUGGGAUUCCACUGAACGUGGAUGAUCUGCGGAGAUAUUCAGCCUCAUGGACUGAACAACUACUACUUAGACUUUCCAUUGAUAUACAGCCAUUUUUGGACUAACAGAACUACAACCUUCAAGGUAUUAUCCUUAAUAACAUCAUUUACUACUAUUAUUCUCCAUUUUGUACAGUUUUCUCCAUAGGCUGGAGCUGGAGAAAGCCCUUAGAAGAUGGAUUUUUAAGAGCACCCUAAAUACAAAUUAGAGCAGAUGAAAAUGGCUAUAAAUAAAUCAUAAAUGAAGCAAAUAAUAAGAUAGCAUAAUAAGAAGAAUCAAGAUUCAGUAAUCAAUUAAAUGUGUGAGGUGAGGGAAUUUUUCUCAACUGUGAACAUGAACUAUAAAUUUCUUAAUGAUGAACAUAGUUUUAGAAGAUGACCUGACUCUUAUUCAACAGAUGCACAGGUAAUUGUUGAGUGAUUAUGUCUGGCUCAGGAGAAAGAGAGAAAGACUAGAGAUAAAGAUAGAAGCACAGUGAGAUCAUCAUGUUGAUAAUAUCCAGGGACUGUGAUGUGUAAGAAAGCUCCUGAACUUGUUAGAGUAAAAUUGUUCUUCAGAGAAAUGAUUCUUACAAGUGGGCCACUCUCACCUCAGGGAUACAGGAGAUGCUACUAAUCUCUGAGACUAGCUUCUUCAGCCUAAACCUCAUCGGGCAGAAUUGAUGAACAACUUCAUCACUUCUUUAGUGCUCCUUUGGUAGAGUUGAAAUGCAUUAUAGCUGGCACUGGUGUCUGCCCUCUGGGAGGUUGCAACAUUAGACAAGUGUUUAAUCCAUGUAAGACAUGAACUGCAUCUGCAAAUAUGCCCUUAAUAGCAAAAGAGAAGCAAUAGCUUCCACUGUCCAGAAAUACCAGAAAACUAACCAAAUUAUCACUUGUGCUUGAAAAAAAUGUGCCUUGAUUUGUCAGGAUUAAAUGCACAGAGGUAGCUCAUCAUUGAAGAUUAAUGAAGUCACCAGAAUCAUUUAGAAAGCAAUUGAGUGCUUAAUUUUAAUUAGAGGUUUGAUUGGUAUUAUUGAAAUGAAACAAGGGAACUCACACCCUCACCUCCUAAAUGUUUUUUUUCCAUUGAAACAAUAAUUAGUAUGUCAGUCUUUAGUUCAUAUUUUGGUCUUUUAUCAGAUUAUGCAUGAAAUAACUGCCAAAGAAUAGGGUAUUUCAGGCAGAGAACAUCACUCAGCAUGGCUCCAGGCAAAGUACUAAAAUCAAAAGGAGACAGAAAAAUCACAUCACUCUCAGGGCUCCAACACUUUUUCUUUGGAAAAAUUAGAGUCAGAUAUUUUUCAGCCAAAUUGUUGUGUUACAUAUAUACAUUACUGAAAAUUAUUAUGAUUCUACUAGAGAAUUAAUCAAAUUGAAGUUUAUAUUUAAGAGAAAGGUAGGGUGAAUUGAUAUAGGAACAUUUGUUUUGUAGUUCUGAAACUCAUCAAACAUAGGAAUUUCUACAUUCCUCUUAAGGUGAACAAAUUUUAUUUCAAGUAAUCUGGAUCCUUCUUCCUAUCCAAAGGUGUUUCAUGUUUCAGAUAGUUUGGCUGUCAUGUCGUAGAACAGUGAAAGAAAGAUAAAUGUAGUGGUGUGACAAUUGUUCCAAACUAUGGGUGAGUAUGGCAAAUAUCUCAGUUCAUUUCGUAAGUUCAUAAUAGAGAUGGAAUUCCAGAAACCUCACACCCGUGUUCUCUACAGAUCCAGGGUGAAAAUAGAUGUGUGGAACUGUCCUCUAUGUUUCAAGUGAUUCUGCAGCCUACUUUUACUCACAGCAGAAGAUUAUCCCUGGAAUUUGGUCUGAAAAUGUCUAGGAAGAAUUUGGUUUCCUCAUAUAAGCAUGUUCUGCCCUCUGUAUUUGUGUCUUUCUGUCUUCAAAACAGAUAUGAGACAAUU